GCGAGAGGGAGGAGGAGCCAGGAUUAAGGCACCCUUAGCUUUGGGUGCAGUUGGCGCUUUAGUGCUUUCGUUUACUAAUCCUCCCAAAAUCUGCCCACUGCUCAUCUCUGCAGCUUCAGGAGGCAGCUGAGUCUUUGAUAACUGAUGAGGUUUAACCAAGAUCACCAGCAAGUGAAGGUUCGGGUGUUGGCACAUGGGACCUCCGCCUGCUUCUAUCGAUGAAAUCUUACUAGAACACAGCACUGCCUGUUUUCUAAGGCAUGGACUGUGUUUGUUUCAUGCUACAAGGACUGCGAAGUUGCAACAGAGACCACAUGGCCACAAGCUUAAAAUGUUUAAUUUGGCUCUUUAAGAAAAACUUUGCUGACUCCCAUCUUCUUGUUCUAGAAUUCUUCCAGGCAAAGGGUAUACUGGGAACAGAUCAGCCAUUAUUGUUUUCUGAGCACCAGCCAGUAAUAAUAAACAUGGCGCCUUAUAGCCUACGAAGCUC